rnacentral:rRNA from 1 species
UACGUAGGGUGCGAGCGUUGUCCGGAAUUAUUGGGCGUAAAGAGCUCGUAGGCGGUGUGUCACGUCGGCCGUGAAAACCUGGGGCUUAACUCUGGGCGUGCGGUCGAUACGGGCAUCACUAGAGUUCGGCAGGGGAGACUGGAAUUCCUGGUGUAGCGGUGAAAUGCGUAGAUAUCCGGAGGAACACCGACGGCGUAGGCAGCGCCCUAGACGAGACCUGACGCUCAGGCACGAAAGCGCGGGGAGCGAACAGG